rnacentral:rRNA from 1 species
UAGGGAAUCUUCCGCAAUGGACGAAAGUCUGACGGAGCGACGCCGCGUGAGCGAGGAAGGUCUUCGGAUCGUAAAGCUCUGUUGUUAGGGAAGAAGAAGUGCCGUUCGAACAGGGCGGCACGGUGACGGUACCUAACGAGAAAGCCCCGGCUAACUACGUGCCAGCAGCCGCGGUAAUACGUAGGGGGCGAGCGUUGUCCGGAAUUAUUGGGCGUAAAGCGCGCGCAGGCGGUCCCUUAAGUCUGAUGUGAAAGCCCACGGCUUAACCGUGGAGGGUCAUUGGAAACUGGGGGACUUGAGUGCAGAAGAGGAGAGCGGAAUUCCACGUGUAGCGGUGAAAUGCGUAGAGAUGUGGAGGAACACCAGUGGCGAAGGCGGCUCUCUGGUCUGUAACUGACGCUGAGGCGCGAAAGCGUGGGGAGCAAACAGG